rnacentral:rRNA from 1 species
UACGUAGGUGGCGAGCGUUGUCCGGAAUUACUGGGUGUAAAGGGCGUGUAGGCGGGAAUGUAAGUCAGAUGUGAAAUCCCAUGGCUUAACUGUGGGGCUGCAUCUGAAACUAUGUUUCUUGAGUGCUGGAGAGGAAAGCGGAAUUCCUAGUGUAGCGGUGAAAUGCGUAGAUAUUAGGAGGAACACCAGUGGCGAAGGCGGCUUUCUGGACAGUAACUGACGCUGAGGCGCGAAAGCGUGGGGAGCAAACAGG